rnacentral:pre_miRNA from 1 species
CUUCUACUCCCUCCGUUCGGAAUUAGUUGAUGCUCAAACGGAUGUAUCUAGACGUAUUUCAGUGCUAGAUACAUCCGUUUGAGCGUCAACUAAUUCUGGACGGAGGAAGUACUUA